CCUACGGGUGGCAGCAGUGAGGAAUAUUGGUCAAUGGCCGGGAGUCUGAACCAGCCAAGUCGCGUGAGGGAAGACGGCCCUACGGGUUGUAAACCUCUUUUGUCAGGGAGCAAGGUGCAGGUCGCGACCUGCUGUGAGAGUACCUGAAGAAAAAGCAUCGGCUAACUCCGUGCCAGCAGCCGCGGUAAUACGGAGGAUGCGAGCGUUAUCCGGAUUUAUUGGGUUUAAAGGGUGCGCAGGCGGAGGCACAAGUCAGCGGUAAAAUCGCGGGGCUAAACCCCGCUGCGCCGUUGAUACUGUGUGGCUUGAGUGCGCGAAGGGUAGGCGGAAUGCGUGGUGUAGCGGUGAAAUGCAUAGAUAUCACGCAGAACUCCGAUUGCGAAGGCAGCCUACCGGGGUGCAACUGACGCUCAUGCACGAAAGCGUGGGUAGCGAACAGGAUUAGAUACCCGUGUAGUC
rnacentral:rRNA from 1 species